rnacentral:rRNA from 1 species
AUUGAACGCUGGCGGCCGGCCUAACACAUGCAAGUCGAACGCGUGGCGGACGGGUGAGUAAUGUCUGGGACACUGCCUGCUGGAGGGGGAUAACUACUGGAACCGGUAGCUAAUACCGCAUACCAUCGGAUGUGCCCAGAUGGGAUUAGCAAGUAGGUGGGGUAAAGGCUCACCUAGGCGACGAGCCCUAGCUGGUCGGAGAGGAUGACCAGCCAAACUGGAACUGAGACACGGUCCAGACUCCUACGGGAGGCAGCAGUGGGGAAUAUUGCACAAUGGGCGCAAGCCUGAUGCAGCCAUGCCGCGUGUAUGAAGAAGGCCUUCGGGUUGUAAAGUACUUUCAGCGGUGAGGCGUUACCCGCAGAAGAAGCACCGGCUAACUCCGUGCCAGCAGCCGCGGUAAUAC